UACGAAGGGGGCUAGCGUUGCUCGGAAUUACUGGGCGUAAAGGGCGCGUAGGCGGAUAGUUUAGUCAGAGGUGAAAGCCCAGGGCUCAACCUUGGAAUUGCCUUUGAUACUGGCUAUCUUGAGUUCGGGAGAGGUGAGUGGAAUGCCGAGUGUAGAGGUGAAAUUCGUAGAUAUUCGGCGGAACACCAGUGGCGAAGGCGACUCACUGGCCCGAUACUGACGCUGAGGCGCGAAAG
rnacentral:rRNA from 1 species